rnacentral:rRNA from 1 species
UACGUAGGGGGCGAGCGUUGUCCGGAGUUACUGGGCGUAAAGCGCACGCAGGCGGUCUGCUAAGUUUGGAGUGACAGUUGGUGGCUUAACUGCCAAAGUGCUUCGAAAACUGACAGACUUGAGGGCUUCAGAGGGACACGGAAUUCCGGGUGGAGUGGUGAAAUGCGCAGAUAUCAGGAGGAACACCGAUGGCGAAGGCAGGUCUCUGGGCCGAUACUGACGCUGAGGAGCGAAAGCGUGGGGAGCGAACAGG